rnacentral:misc_RNA from 1 species
GGAUGAAGAACGUAGUGAAAUGCGAUACUUGGUGUGAAUUGCAGAAUCCCGUGAACCAUCGAGUCUUUGAACGCAAGUUGCGCCCGAAGCUUCGGCCGAGGGCACGUCUGCCUGGGCGUCACGCAUAGCGUCUCCCCCGCACCUACCGCGCGAUGGGGAAGGAGGAUGGCCUCCCGUGCCUCACCGGGCGCGGUUCGCCUAAAGACGGAGCCCACGGCAUCGAGCCGCCGCGGCGAUUGGUGGAUUGAACGGCCCCGAGCCACGUCAAUUUGUAACGUCGCGUGCGAGCGAGGUGCCCGAGGGAGCUCGCUGGACCCCGAGCGCGAGCUCAUACCCUUGCGACCCCAGGUCAGGCGGGGCUACCCGCUGAGUUUAAGCAUAUCAAUAAGCGGAAGA